AGGCCUGGGAGGAGGCGAGAGGGGGCUUCUGUCUGCACACAAGGCGCAUGCAGCAGGCUCAGCUCUAAGCCACCCCGGGACCCGCCUCCCCAGGUUCCCCUGUGACUAUACUACGCUGUGAACGGAACUUUGCAGAUGUCACGAAGGUGGCUGAUCAGAGGACCCUAAGAGAAGGAGGUAAUCUGGCUCACCUGACCUCGUCACGUGAGUCCUUUAAAAGUACAGCGUUUUCUCUGACUGCUGAGAGCAGCCGGGACCCAAGAGACCCCGAUGUGAGACGCGCAGCCAUGAGGCGGUGGGUGCCGGGGUGCGGGGGUCUCAGGGCAAGGCGGUGAGGAGCUGAGAGCCCCCAGCCAACACCCAGCCAGGACACGGGACCUCAGUCCCACAGCCGUAAGGAGCUGGAUUCUGCCAGCACCCCGAAGGAGCACGGAAGCCUGCAGACCCUCCGGGGUUAGCCUUCAGGGUGAAGUCUCUGAGCUCUCCAUGGUUUGGCAUUCAACGUGGAAAAACAAAAGACACUGUCCCCAGCAGCUUGGAGAAGGUGGCCUGGUGCCAGGGGCAGCUGAGUCUCACGGGGAUCAGGCUCCCAGGGAAAUGCCUGCACUCCAGAGGCCGCCCUGCAGACGUCUGUCCCCAGAGUCCUCGGGCUCAGGGACCACCGAGGGGCCCAGGCGCACUGGGAGGACGUCUGAUGCGAAGAGAUGACGGGGAGCCAGGAGGGCUGGGGGAUCGGGGAGCACCACCUGCAUUUCCCAAAGCUGAGACACAAGAGACCCCAGGGACUCGGCGCGUUCCUGGCCUCGGUUUCCUCAUCUGUUGAUGAUCACUGAUGAUAAGCCCCGCUUGGGGAGCACCGGGCUCUGUUCUCAGUGCGUGAUCAGCGUUGCGUCCUAAGGUGGGGUAGGUGCUAUUUAUCUGUCCGCUCAGUAUCGCAGUCUCCCAGGCAAGGAGCUGAGGAUAGAGGGGAGACUGGAGCAGGGGCUCUCGGACAGGGGGAGGGGCCGGUGAAUGACGGCCCCGGCUCUAGCUUUGUGGCUGUGCCCUGGGCUUGCCUCCUGGCACCCCGUAUAGCAGCUGGGGACCUAGACCGGGUGGACUGGCUACCUCCUGCUGCCCUGUGUCCUCUGCAAAUCAGGGGCAGUGACGGCUGGCCUCAGCCCAGGGCUGGCUUGCAGGAGGCAGAGGUUUGGGCCGGCGGGGAGGAGGUGAGAGGUCCCCUCCGUAGCUCAGAUGCUCAGCCCCGCCCCACAGCUCUGUGGCAUCAUGUUCAUCUGGGCAGUUGGCAGAACCCACUCGUUUCCUGGCUGUGUGUGUCUAACCCGGGCUUGGCAUCUCCGCAGCUGGCGGCUGGCACAGUGUGCUGAAUCCUACCCCCAGGCAUCUGAAACCCAGCCCGGGACGGUGAGAGUUUAUAGGGUGCCAAUUGGCAGGUGGAGCUGAGCACGCAGCGAUGAGCCUCACUUGCACGCAGCACCCACCACACCCCGCCCGGCAGCAGGUCCCAGAGUAAUGCAAUACUAAUGACGACGGCGGCAGGCAGGAUCUUUGGUGUGUGCCGGAGCCCCUGAAGUUCACCGAGCGCCCCCCACACCUGCUCACGCCUUGCGUACAUGCAGGGGAUAGCGGCAGGCACGACGCUCUUCUCAGAGAGGUUAUGUCAUCGGCCCGAGGUCACACAGCUCGUGGGUGCCUCUGUCACUGCCGGGUUCAGGUUUGGGUCUGCCUUGGCUCGGUGUCCCCAGCAUGACGCACCACAGGGUCCAGCCCAGAGGGGAUCUCGGUGCAGUUGAUAAGCAUCCUUGACACUGGCCUCGCGCCUUUCACGAGGGUGAGGGCUCUGCUCUGUAGACCAGCCAUUUUCAAUCCCCGAGGCGGAGCAACACAGCCCAGGCCAGAACAGGAGCCUCGAUGUCAAAGACAGGGAGUGUGCCUUCUCCUCCUGGGCUGGGCAGCGCAUGGCAGCACACUCUGUUUAACUGAAGCUGAGUGAGGGCCCCACUUACCGGGUGCCCCAUGCCUCACAGUGUCACCCGAUGGUUUCCCUGAAUCUCCACAACCAUCCCAGGAGUCACUUCUAUGCAUUCCCUAUUGACAGAUUAAAAAAAAAAAAAAAACAACCAGACCCAGAGAGGUUAGGUGACUAGCCCAGGGGCACACAGCUGGGAAUGGCACAGCUGAGAUUUGAACUUGGAUCUGUCCCUCCCUAGCCCCAUCCGAAGCCUCCACUCUUGAUGUCAGUGCAACAAAGAACAGAGUAGAGCACUAUGGGGUGGGAGCUUAUCCCGGGUCUGCCUCUCUAGGCCUCGGUUUCCCCACCUGCUCCAUGCUCGCUGCUGGUCGGGCCCCCCCGGCUCACAGUGGGAGGCUCAGUGUAGCACUGACUUCGGGCUGGUCUCGCCCAGGCGCAGGGAAGCAGGUUAUCCUGGGUUCAACGGCUCGGGCCCCAGGGCCCAGGCUGGAAUCCAGGCCUCUCUGAGUUCGCGGAGCAGCCUCUCCCCGUCUCGUAAAUGGUCUGGCCUCACGGAGCAACCUUUGUUAUUGCAAAAUCUCAUGUUUCCACGAAGCCCAGGGAAAGAAGAGCCUUCGGCGGCAGCUUCCGGCAUCUGUCUGAAUUCUAUUCUUGUGAGGCUCCCAGCUGUGGGGAAGCCGGCCCAGGCUGAGCGGCAGGGUGGAGCCCAUGGCCCUGGCCAGGUGGCCCAAGCCUGUGUGGCCACCUGCCAGCCACAGCCUGGUCACAUCCGAGAUGAACCAGAACCGCCACAGAGGUGCCCGAGGGCCCGCUCGGGCGAGGCUGGGGUGAGGAAGCCCAGGGAAGCGUUCCUGUGGUCACAGGCCUGGGACACUCCACAGACUGUUCCAGGGCUCCCAGGCAGAUCAGGGCCCGCCAAGCCCGGGUUCCUUUGGAAGAGGAGAAAAAAAAGGAAACUCCAGUUUCCAGAGCUUGGAUUCAUAAACGCCCUGCCAGGCCUGAGUCUUUACAAACGCUCCCUCAUGAGCACCGCCAGCCCAGCGUGAGCAAGGCACGACUGUCUUUGCACUGUUCCAGCUGAGGACAGGAAGGAGCAGAGGGGUUAAGUACCCGCCAGGGUGGCACAGCUGGUCAGUGGAAGACGUCGCCUGUGCCGGGUUAGAUUUCCAAGUUCAGAACCGCUGAUGCCAAUGUUGCUUUCUCAGCCAGAGGAAGCAAGGUUUCCUCUCGGCGUCCAGGAGCUGCCUCUGCCUCAGUCUCUCCACCCUGGACCCAGGCCGCAUGUGGGACCAGCCGACGGGAGUCGGUCGGCUUUGCUCACACCCUGCUCGGGUUCCCCCAGAAUGUGACACUGGAUACUGGAGCCCAGGCCAAGAGGAAGGAUGGGCUGCCUUCUGCCCCACGGCACCAUGGGAAUAUCUGGGGGCCUCACUUGCAAAGAUGGGACCCCAGAACCCUGGCUUGCUAGAGCGGCCUUCUAGGACCAGCAGCGUGAGCCCCAGUUACUGACGAGAAAACGGAGUUGCCUGAGACCCCCGUGCAGUGAGCCCCCGGCCACCUUCAUGUCUCACGUCAACGCCACAGUUACAGAUUUGCAGCCGGACCCUUGGGUCGCCUCCUGUCUGCGCCCCCUUGGACAGAUCACUUUCCCUUUGUAAGCCUCCAUUUCCUCAUCUUUGAAAUGGAGCCCACGGUUCCUCCCUUUUCGGGACCUGGGAGGGCUGGUCGGCGGAGGCCAUAUAACUCACUGACUUACCGCAAAGCCUGGCGCACAGUAGGGCCCCUGCUCUGCAGUCCUCACCACCUGCCCCACCAGCGGCCAGUACCUAUAGUUUGAUAUUUCACUUAUCGCCAUCACCACCGCUGUAUCUUAAGCACCUGCUGCGUGUGAGGUACUCCGCUGGGCACACGGUAUCAUCGUCCCCGACAGUCACCACCGCUGCUGGGCACGCGGUAUCAUCGUCCCCGACAGUCACCACCGCUGCUGGGCACGCGGUAUCAUCGUCCCCGACAGUCACCACCGCUGCUGGGCACGCGGUAUCAUCGUCCCCGACAGUCACCACCGCUGCUGGGCACGCGGUAUCAUCGUCCCCGACAGUCACCACCGCUGCUGGGCACGCGGUAUCAUCGUCCCCGACAGUCACCACCGCUGCUGGGCACGCGGUAUCAUCGUCCCCGACAGUCACCACCGCUGCUGGGCACGCGGUAUCAUCGUCCCCGACAGUCACCACCGCUGCUGGGCACGCGGUAUCAUCGUCCCCGACAGUCACCACCGCUGCUGGGCACGCGGUAUCAUCGUCCCCGACAGUCACCACCGCUGCUGGGCACGCGGUAUCAUCGUCCCCGACAGUCACCACUGCUGUUUUGAGCCAUGCGUUGGGUGCAAUUCUGUGCAUGUCAGAAACAUCUCAAUGGCUGUGAUGUGGCCGCUGUCAUCACCACACCCAUCUCACAGAAACUGAGGCUGGAAAGUGACUUGCUCAAGGCAAAAGCCCGCUGAGCCAUCCUUCACACGGAGCCACAGGAUCUGUGUGAAAUCCACGUCCACCAGCAUCAUCCUCCUGCUCAGACCCUUCUGUGGCUCCUGAUUUACGACUUUCAGGAUAGACCAGGUGUCCCCAAACUACGGCCCGCGGGCCGCGUGCG